GCCUGGGUGGCUCAGUCGGUUAAGCGUCAGACUUGGGCUCAGGUCAUGAUCUCUCCGUUUGUGGGUUCAAGCCCCGCAUCGGGCU
rnacentral:tRNA from 1 species